UGGUCUCUCAUCUUUUUAGUCGUGAAGAAAGGUUCAAUCAGCUUCCUUCGAACCUUCCAAACUUCAGGUUCUGAAGCUAACAGUCCAUCUCCUAUGCCAAUAAAUGUAUAAGCUUUCGGUUUCUUCAAAUUUUUUUUGUGCAAGACUAACUAAACAAUUUAGGCAAUAAAUAAAUUGAAAACAAAAGUUAUUUUAUUUCAUCUGAUAAUGAGCCCAAUGAACGGGAGUAAAUGCGUUGGCAAAAAAGCUUAUAAGCCAAAUCACUUAUAAUGCUAUAGCGGUACUUACCCUGAAUUUUCAACUUUGCUAUUUUCUGUGUAAUAAAUAUCUGGUAACUAAUAACAAUAUCUGGUUCAGAAGUACUAAAAUUCACAAUUACUUCUGUUUGGACCCAACAAUUAGAACAUAAAUAUUCGAGCCGAGUAAGAUUAAAUUAUUGGAUAAAAAGCCAAUUUAAAUGAUUGAUGUUCACUUUACCUCUACCGCUUCAUGGCCAAAAGCAAAGACAACUGGAAAAAUCGAGAUCCAUAAAAUUUGCAACGAUUGAAGUGGAUUAGAACCAAUAGCUCUUCAAUAGGAAACGGAAAAUUUGGCCAAAUCUCCUUCCAAUGUCCCAGGAAGAAAUUUUUUGGCUGAUAAUGGAAUCCAUGAUAAUGAAUAACAAUAUAAAUAUAAUGUAAUAAAGGCUUCAAUAGAUGAACAUAAAUAAAAUAUGAAAUUAUUGAAAACAAAAGCAACUUCAAUGAAUCAACACUAAACAGUCCAAUAUAAGACAUUGUAAAUUCUGGUAACCAAUUCAGUCCAACCUGUAACUGUAAUUUUCAUCAGAACAAAGUUAAUAAGAAGUUUAUGGUUUCACUACUCAACUUACAAACUUACUGUCUAAA